UCCACGGAGACUUGUGUUCUGGCUACCACGCUGAGUAUUGGUCUUCCUGCGUUGUUCCAAUUGUGUUAUAGUUAAACUCCCAUUUUCUGUUUUGUAAUUUACCUUAUUGUUUAAUAAACCCCUAGACUAAAACAAGCCCUAUUGACUUUUUCGGUCAUUCUAUGUUGUGGCCAGUGUGCCUGGCCAUAACAUUUGGGUCCUCGUCCGCUCUUUAGAGAUUGUUAGGAAGUAGCAGGAAAUUUUGAGUGCGACUUUGGGUGAGUACCAUAAUUUUUUCUGGGUAGAGGAGCGUGCACCUCAAUUUAGUAAGCCGCCGGGCAGACACUGAGUCUGCCACUUUAUUAUUUUAGUUUCAUUAUUUUUGGUGGUGAUGACCCUUAGUUGGUACGUUUCGGAGGUUGUGGUAGGCUGCGCAAUCGGUCUGCUAUGUCCUCACGGGUUCAACGUUCAAAGUACACCAGUGUAGCAGAUUGGGCUACGCCCUAUUAUUUGGCUCCUUUGCUUCUCUCCCUGUGCUGGAUUGGUGUGGCUGCGUUCAUCCUAAUUACGGGGCGGACCUAGGCAGACUUAUAUCUAGGAACGCAAAUUGCUACCUGGAUGUGCUACUUUCUCUCUUUCCCGUCUUCCGGGGCGCAUAGUUUGGCGUGGAUCACAACUUGGAUGGUGAAGCCGCCAUCAAGUGAAUGCUCUCACGAGUAAGAGCUUGGUCUGUCCUGUCGGCGUUGAGGCCGGUGUAGCACUGUUGAGCCUGGUGUCUGCCUUAAAGCAGCUAGAGCAGUGUUGUCC